UCAGAUUGAACGCUGGCGGCAGGCCUAACACAUGCAAGUCGAGCGGUAGAGAGAAGCUUGCUUCUCUUGAGAGCGGCGGACGGGUGAGUAAUGCCUAGGAAUCUGCCUGGUAGUGGGGGAUAACGUUCGGAAACGGACGCUAAUACCGCAUACGUCCUACGGGAGAAAGCAGGGGACCUUCGGGCCUUGCGCUAUCAGAUGAGCCUAGGUCGGAUUAGCUAGUUGGUGAGGUAAUGGCUCACCAAGGCGACGAUCCGUAACUGGUCUGAGAGGAUGAUCAGUCACACUGGAACUGAGACACGGUCCAGACUCCUACGGGAGGCAGCAGUGGGGAAUAUUGGACAAUGGGCGAAAGCCUGAUCCAGCCAUGCCGCGUGUGUGAAGAAGGUCUUCGGAUUGUAAAGCACUUUAAGUUGGGAGGAAGGGUUGUAGAUUAAUACUCUGCAAUUUUGACGUUACCGACAGAAUAAGCACCGGCUAACUCUGUGCCAGCAGCCGCGGUAAUACAGAGGGUGCAAGCGUUAAUCGGAAUUACUGGGCGUAAAGCGCGCGUAGGUGGUUUGUUAAGUUGGAUGUGAAAUCCCCGGGCUCAACCUGGGAACUGCAUUCAAAACUGACUGACUAGAGUAUGGUAGAGGGUGGUGGAAUUUCCUGUGUAGCGGUGAAAUGCGUAGAUAUAGGAAGGAACACCAGUGGCGAAGGCGACCACCUGGACUAAUACUGACACUGAGGUGCGAAAGCGUGGGGAGCAAACAGGAUUAGAUACCCUGGUAGUCCACGCCGUAAACGAUGUCAACUAGCCGUUGGAAGCCUUGAGCUUUUAGUGGCGCAGCUAACGCAUUA
rnacentral:rRNA from 1 species